rnacentral:rRNA from 1 species
UUAGAGGGAAACGGGUGGAACCGCAAUGCGUCGACCCGGGGGAUUCAGCCAGACCGUGCACACGCGGCGAGGGCGGAGAGUGGCGGAGCUUUCGGGCCCGCGCCUCCGCCUAGUCGUCGGGCGGCCUGGUGCACUUUCCCCGGGCCGAUGGCCACGGCCGGCUCUCCGUUGGCGGCCAAAAGCCUAAGACCGGGAAGGUAGCCGCCGGCCUUGUGCCGACGGUGAUUACAGACCGGCUAGCCGUCGUGCUCGUCGGAGGGCCGAGGAAAGRUUGCCGCUCGCCGCCCACCCUACGGCCGUCCUUGCUCGUCUACAAUGGGUCGCACUGCUGGUCAGAGCGCACGCCGCCAGCGAGUCUAGAGGGGCCGGAAAGGUGAGGCGAGCUUCGGGCCCGUGGCGAAUCGGUCGGCCUUCCACCCGACCCGUCUUGAA